CCGGCCAGAGGAGGAGAGAGAUGGCAUAGAGAGUGAGCCCCUAGAGGAAGAGAGAGACGGCACAGAGAGUGAGCCCCUAGAGGAGGAGCACAGUAUCGACAAAGCUCUCAAUGCCUCUCUGGAAUACAGUUCACUUUAAAUAUUACACUGUUUACUACCCUGCACUCAAUAUUAAUGCCUAGUCAAUAACUACUUUCAUAUCACUCUGCAAAAGCCAGAUUUAACCAACGUGUCUUCCUUCAAUCAAGUGCAGAGUCAACCCCCUAGAGACAGACCUGCUCUCAACAAAAUAAGAAGAUUCUACGGCAGACAUGGAAUGUCAUAGCCAGCCACAAGUAUGCUUAUAUGUUCCUUACGCCGGUUAAUGAAAAAUUUGCUUCAGAAUAUUACCGUGUUGUGAAAAGACCCAUGGAUCUCCUGACUGAAGAGCCGCGUGGCGAAGGGGCUGGUAGACACUCUGGAGGGGUUCCAGGGGGAGGUGAUGCUCAUGUUCCAGAAUGCCAUGAUGUAUAAUGAGCCCGACAGCGAGGUGUAUCGCAGGGCGGUCAGCACGCAGGGAGACAUUGUGGAGCACCUGCAGGUAUGUCAGGGAUUUCACAAAGCCAGCUUUUAGUUCAUCAUCCCUUAUAAUGAGGCAAAAGAGCUGGCAGCAAACAUCCAGUUAUCAGUGAAGUACAAGAUGAAAGGCAAGUUCUUUUGAUAUCAAUAAGCCCUUACACUCAUUCUAGCAGAGCAACUUAUCAUUUAGACCAGGACACUGAUAAAGGGAUGGGAAAUCUCAGAGAUG